rnacentral:rRNA from 1 species
UACGUAGGGGGCAAGCGUUGUCCGGAAUCAUUGGGCGUAAAGAGCGUGUAGGCGGCCCGAUAAGUCCGCUGUGAAAGUCCAGGGCUCAACCCUGGGAUGCCGGUGGAUACUGUCGGGCUCGAGUCCGGAAGAGGAGUGUGGAAUUCCUGGUGUAGCGGUGAAAUGCGCAGAUAUCAGGAAGAACACCCGUGGCGAAGGCGGUUCUCUGGGACGGUACUGACGCUGAGACGCAAAAGCGUGGGGAGCGAACAGG